GAUGAACGCUGGCGGCGUGCCUAAUACAUGCAAGUCGAGCGAACAGAUGAGGAGCUUGCUCCUCUGACGUUAGCGGCGGACGGGUGAGUAACACGUGGAUAACCUACCUAUAAGACUGGGAUAACUUCGGGAAACCGGAGCUAAUACCGGAUAAUAUAUUGAACCGCAUGGUUCAAUAGUGAAAGACGGUUUUGCUGUCACUUAUAGAUGGAUCCGCGCCGCAUUAGCUAGUUGGUAAGGUAACGGCUUACCAAGGCAACGAUGCGUAGCCGACCUGAGAGGGUGAUCGGCCACACUGGAACUGAGACACGGUCCAGACUCCGACGGGAGGCAGCAGUAGGGAAUCUUCCGCAAAGGGCGAAAGCCUGACGGAGCAACGCCGCGUGAGUGAUGAAGGUCUUCGGAUCGUAAAACUCUGUUAUUAGGGAAGAACAAAUGUGUAAGUAACUAUGCACGUCUUGACGGUACCUAAUCAGAAAGCCACGGCUAACUACGUG
rnacentral:rRNA from 1 species